rnacentral:rRNA from 1 species
AUUGAACGCUGGCGGCAUGCCUUACACAUGCAAGUCGAACGGCAGCACGGGGGCAACCCUGGUGGCGAGUGGCGAACGGGUGAGUAAUGCAUCGGAACGUGUCCUCUUGUGGGGGAUAACCAGUCGAAAGAUUGGCUAAUACCGCAUGAGAUCGAAAGAUGAAAGCGGGGGACCGCAAGGCCUCGCGCGAGAGGAGCGGCCGAUGCCGGAUUAGCUAGUUGGUGGGGUAAAAGCCUACCAAGGCGACAAUCCGUAGCUGGUCUGAGAGGACGGCCAGCCACACUGGGACUGGGAAACGGCCCGGACUCCUACGGGAGGCAGCAGUGGGGAAUGUUGGACAAUGGGCGCAAGCCUGAUCCAGCCAUGCCGCGUGUGUGAAGAAGGCCUUCGGGUUGUAAAGCACUUUCGGACGGAACGAAAUCGCGCGGACGAACAUUCCGCGUGGAUGACGGUACCGUAAGAAGAAGCACCGGCUAACUACGUGCCAGCAGCCGCGGUAAGAC